rnacentral:rRNA from 1 species
CUAUGGGGCGCUGCAGUGAGGAAUAUUGCACAAUGGGGGGAACCCUGAUGCAGCAACGCCGCGUGGAGGAUGACGCAUUUCGGUGUGUAAACUCCUUUUAUAUGUCAAGAAAAUGACGGUAGCAUAUGAAUAAGCACCGGCUAACUCCGUGCCAGCAGCCGCGGUAAUACGGAGGGUGCGAGCGUUACUCGGAAUCACUGGGCGUAAAGGACGCGUAGGCGGGUUGGAAAGUCAGGUGUGAAAUCCUACAGCUUAACUGUAGAACUGCACUUGAAACUUCUAAUCUAGAGUAUGGGAGGGGGAGAUGGAAUUAGUGGUGUAGGGGUAAAAUCCGUAGAUAUCACUAGGAAUACCUAAAGCGAAGGCGAUCUCCUGGAACAUUACUGACGCUAAGGCGUGAAAGCGUGGGGAGCAAACAGGAUUAGAUACCCCGGUAGUC